rnacentral:rRNA from 1 species
AACGAACGCUGGCGGCAUGCCUAACACAUGCAAGUCGAACGAGACCUUCGGGUCUAGUGGCGCACGGGUGCGUAACGCGUGGGAACCUGCCCUUAGGUUCGGAAUAACUCCCCGAAAGGGGUGCUAAUACCGGAUAAUGUCUUCGGACCAAAGAUUUAUCGCCUUUGGAUGGGCCCGCGUUGGAUUAGCUAGUUGGUAGGGUAAAAGCCUACCAAGGCGACGAUCCAUAGCUGGUCUGAGAGGAUGAUCAGCCACACUGGGACUGAGACACGGCCCAGACUCCUCCGGGAGGCAGCAGUGGGGAAUAUGGGACACUGGGCGAGAGCCUGAUCCAGCACGGCCGCGUGAGUGAUGAAGGCCUUAGGGUUGUAAAGCUCUUUUACCCGGGAUGAUAAUGACAUUACCGGGAGAAUAAGCUCCGGCUACCUCCGU